UGAGGAAUAUUGGUCAAUGGGCGCAAGCCUGAACCAGCCAUCCCGCGUGAAGGAAGAAGGCGCUAUGCGUUGUAAACUUCUUUUCCAGGGGGAGAAUUUUUCUGUCGUGACAGGAAUUGACGGUACCCUGGGAAUAAGCAUCGGCUAACUCCGUGCCAGCAGCCGCGGUAAUACGGAGGAUGCGAGCGUUAUCCGGAUUUAUUGGGUUUAAAGGGUGCGUAGGCGGAUAGAUAAGUCAGUGGUGAAAACCUGCAGCUUAACUGUAGACUUGCCGUUGAUACUGUCAGUCUUGAGUAUGGUCAAGGUAGGCGGAAUGUGUAAUGUAGCGGUGAAAUGCGUAGAUAUUACACAGAACACCGAUUGCGAAGGCAGCUUGCUGGGCCAUUACUGACGCUGAUGCACGAAAGCGUGGGGAUCGAACA
rnacentral:rRNA from 1 species